UCCUCUAGAAAGAUCCGAAGUAAUUCGAGCUGUAAUUGUACAUACAUGUAAAGAGUUCAAAUGCGAAGACGGUAUAAUAAUCCGCUAUGAUGACAAUGCUGCGGUUGUAAUUGAUCAAAAAGGCAAUCCAAAAGGAACUCGAGUUUUUGGCGCGACUGCCAAGGAAUUGAGAGAAUUGAAUUUUACCAAAAUAGUUUCAUUAGCUCCUGAAGUAUUAUAAAUACUAGUAGGCGAAAUUGAGACCAAAGAAUUAAUUUAGUAGAUUGUGUUUUACGUAUAUGUUUUAAAAUCCAAAAUGAAAAAAAAGAAAACAUGUUGAUUAUAGAAAAAUUAGGAGGAACCUAGAAUUAGAGUCUUAUGGGCAAGGACACUAUUGCUGAUUUACUAACCUCUAUAAGAAAUGCGGACAUGAAUAAAAAAGGAACAGUUUGAGUAGUAUCUACAAAUAUUACUGAAAACAUUGUUAAAAUACUUCUACGAGAAGGGUUUUAUUGAAAGUGUUCGGAAAAAUCAGGAACGUAACAGAUAUUUCUUGGUUUCAACUUUGCGACAUCAAAAGAGAAAGACUAGAAAAGGAAUAUAUAGAACAAGAACCUUUUUAAAGCGUAUCAGCUGACCCGGCUUACGAAUUUAUACCAACUAUCAAGGAAUUCCUAAAGUUUUGGGUGGAAUGGGAAUUGCUAUUCUUUCUACUUCUCGAGGAAUAAUGACAGAUCGAGAAGCUCGACUAAACAGAAUUGGGGGAGAAGUCUUAUGUUAUAUAUGGUAAUCGCCCCGCCUAUAGUGCUUGAAUUCUAUCUCGCCCUUCCUAUUUUUAAAAUAAAAAUAGAAAAAUAGGAGAAAAAA